rnacentral:rRNA from 1 species
AGAGUUUGAUCCUGGCUCAGGACGAACGCUGGCGGCGUGCUUAACACAUGCAAGUCGAACGAUGAAGCCCAGCUUGCUGGGUGGAUUAGUGGCGAACGGGUGAGUAACACGUGGGUGAUCUGCCCUGCACUCUGGAAUAAGCCUGGGAAACUGGGUCUAAUACCGGAUAGGACCUUCGGCCGCAUGGCUGGGGGUGGAAAGUUUUUCGGUGCAGGAUGAGCCCGCGGCCUAUCAGCUUGUUGGUGGGGUAAUGGCCUACCAAGGCGACGACGGGUAGCCGGCCUGAGAGGGCGACCGGCCACACUGGACUGAGACACGGCCCAGACUCCUACGGGAGGCAGCAGUGGGGAAUAUUGCACAAUGGGCGCAAGCCUGAUGCAGCGACGCCGCGUGAGGGAUGACGGCCUUCGGGUUGUAAACCUCUUUCACCCAUGACGAAGCGCAAGUGACGGUAGUGGGAGAAGAAGCACCGGCCAACUACGUGCCAGCAGCCGCGGUAAUACGUAGGGUGCGAGCGUUGUCCGGAAUUACUGGGCGUAAAGAGCUCGUAGGCGGUUUGUCGCGUCGUCUAUGAAAACCCGCAGCUCAACUGCGGGCUUGCAGGCGAUACGGGCAGACUCGAGUACUGCAGGGGAGACUGGAAUUCCUGGUGUAGCGGUGAAAUGCGCAGAUAUCAGGAGGAGCACCGGUGGCGAAGGCGGGUCUCUGGGCAGUAACUGACGCUGAGGAGCGAAAGCGUGGGUAGCGAACAGGAUUAGAUACCCUGGUAGUCCACGCCGUAAACGGUGGGCGCUAGGUGUGGGUUUCCUUCCACGGGAUCCGUGCCGUAGCCAACGCAUUGAGCGCCCCGCCUGGGGAGUACGGCCGCAAGGCUAAAACUCAAAGGAAUUGACGG